AGUCUGGCGAAAGACAGUCUGGGAAAAAAUAAGUAUGGAACGCGUACGAAAAAUAAUGGCGAGCACCGCUCACAGAGUACUUUUUACGCUAUCAUAGACAUCUUUGGCUCUUGUCAUCUGUCAGUGUCAGUCAGUCAAUCGUUUAGUUUGAAAAAUAAUUUUAAAUCAUAAAUAAAUUAAGAUUUAACAGUUAUUUAUAUAUUAUUAUUACUGUGGAUAAGUGCAGUGUUUGUGUGGAGGUACCUAACUAUUAGUGUUGCUUGAUAUUAUUGAUAAUAAUUAUGUUUUAUAAAACUUGUGAAAUAUGUGGUUUAAGAGCCGCUAGCCGGUCGUAUAGAUGGCCAAAAGAGAAUUUUCAUGGCCAAAUUUCCACUGGAUGAGGAAAGAUGUAAACAGUGGGUUAAGAUGACCGGUAAGGAGGAUCUGGUUUAUGUGCCUAUUGUAAAGCUACAUCAACUUAAACGAAUUUGUGGCAAUCAUUUUCUACCACAACAUUUUAAGAACACAAUUGAAAAAAAAAACAAUUCCAUGUGUGGGACUUACUGCAGACACUUUAUUUUAUAAUAAAUAAAUAUAAUUAUAUUUUUCCACUUUUAUUUUAUUUCAACAUUAUAUCAUAGCACUUACGUCAACGGAAAAUCUCGAGUUUAUUUUAUGGAUUAUAUUUUUGUGUUCAAAUAGGAACAUAACAUAACGUUGAACCGAGACUUAACGUUGGUGUCAUUGUGUAACACUGAAAUCCUAUUGUGUAAAACUGAAAUUAAAGUAAUACAUACACUCGCA